rnacentral:rRNA from 1 species
UUGGAGGGCAAGUCUGGUGCCAGCAGCCGCGGUAAUUCCAGCUCCAAUAGCGUAUAUUAAAGUUGUUGCAGUUAAAAAGCUCGUAGUUGAAUUUCGGGGUCAGUAGGCUGGUCGUGCCACAGGUACGUACUGGUCUCACUGAUUCCUCCUUCCUGAUGAACCGUAAUGCCAUUAAUUUGGUGUUGCGAGGAAUCUGGACUGUUACUUUGAAAAAAUUAGAGUGUUUAAAGCAGGCUAACGCUUGAAUACAUUAGCAUGGAAUAAUGAAAUAGGACGUUCGAUCUUAUUUUGUUGGUUUCUAAGAUUGACGUAAUGAUUAAUAGGGAUAGUUGGGGGCAUUAGUAUUCAAUUGUCAGAGGUGAAAUUCUUGGAUUUAUUGAAGACUAACUACUGCGAAAGCAUUUGCCAAGGAUGUUUUCAUUAAUCAAGAACGAAAGUUAGGGGAUCGAAGACGAUCAGAUACCGUCGUAGUCUUAACCAUAAACUAUGCCGACUAGGGAUCGGAUGAUGUUAAUUUUUUAAUGACUCAUUCGGCGCCUUACGGGAAAC